rnacentral:rRNA from 1 species
UACGAAGGGUGCAAACGUUGCUCGGAAUUAUUGGGCGUAAAGCGCACGUAGGCGGCUAUCUAAGUCGGAUGUGAAAUCCCUCGGCUUAACCAAGGAAGUGCACCCGAAACUGGAUAGCUUGAGUACAGAAGAGGAUCGCGGAAUUCCUGGUGUAGCGGUGAAAUGCGCAGAUAUCAGGAGGAACACCAGUGGCGAAGGCGGCGAUCUGGGAAGAUACUGACGCUGAGGUGCGAAAGCGUGGGGAGCAAACAGG